AAAUCUGUCCGUUGGUCGGGCUUCACUGUCCGUACUGGCGUGAUGGGUUCUUACCUUCUGAAUAACCAGCAUGCCAUUCACCUGGUGCGCUAGGGAAGCAGGACUAUUACCUUGAAAAAUUAGAGUGCUCAAAGCAGGCUAGCGCCUGAAUGCAUUAGCAUGGAAUAAUAAAAUAGGACGGCAUGGUUCUAUUUUGUUGGUUUCUAGGAUCACCGUAAUG
rnacentral:rRNA from 1 species